AUCCAUGUAGCACAAUGGCCAAAUUGUGUUGGACUUCUAAUCCAAAGGCCUUGGGUUCGAAUACCACCUUGGAUG